GACGAACGCUGGCGGCGUGCUUAACACAUGCAAUUCGAACGGAAAGGCCCUGCUUUUGUGGGGUGCUCGAGUGGCGAACGGGUGAGUAACACGUGAGUAACCUGCCCUUGAGUUUGGGAUAACUUCAGGAAACUGGGGCUAAUACCGGAUAGGAGCUCCUGCUGCAUGGUGGGGGUUGGAAAGUUUCGGCGGUUGGGGAUGGACUCGCGGCUUAUCAGCUUGUUGGUGGGGUAGUGGCUUACCAAGGCUUUGACGGGUAGCCGGACUGAGAGGGUGACCGGCCACAUUGGGAAUGAGAAACGGCACAGACUCCUACGGGAAGCAGCAGUGGGGAAGAUUGAACAAUGGGCGGAAGCCUGAUGCAGCAACGACGCGUGAGGGAUGAAGGCCUUCGGGUUGUAAACCGCUUUCGCCUGUGACGAAGCGUGAGUGAAGGUAAUGGGUAAAGAAGCACCGGCUAACUACGUG
rnacentral:rRNA from 1 species